UACGUAGGUGGCAAGCGUUGUCCGGAUUUACUGGGCGUAAAGAGCGCGCAGGCGGUCGAUCAAGUCGCGUGUGAAAGCCCCCCGGCUCAACUGGGGGAGGGUCACGCGAUACUGAUCGACUCGAAGGCAGGAGAGGGUAGCGGAAUUCCCGGUGUAGUGGUGAAAUGCGUAGAUAUCGGGAGGAACACCAGUGGCGAAGGCGAC
rnacentral:rRNA from 1 species